rnacentral:rRNA from 1 species
GAUGAACGCUGGCGGCGUGCCUAAUACAUGCAAGUCGAGCGAACAGACGAGGAGCUUGCUCCUCUGACGUUAGCGGCGGACGGGUGAGUAACACGUGGAUGACCUACCUAUAAGACUGGGAUAACUUCGGGAAACCGGGGCUAAUACCGGAUAAUAUAUUGAACCGCAUGGUUCAAUAGUGAAAGACGGUUUUGCUGUCACUUAUAGAUGGAUCCGCGUCGCAUUAGCUAGUGGGUAAGGUAACGGAUUACCAAGGCGACGAGGCGUAGCCGACCUGAAAGGGUGAUCGGCCACCCUGGAACUGAGACACGGUCCAGACUCCUACGGGAGGCAGCAGUAGGGAAUCUUCCGCAAUGGGCGAAAGCCUGACGGAGCAAAGCCGCGUGAGUGAUGAAGGUCUUCGGAUCGUAAAACGCUGUUAUUAGGGAAGAACAAAUGUGUAAGUAACUAUGCACGUCUUGACGGUACCUAAUCAGAAAGCCACGGCUAACUACAUG